AGGGAUCAUUACUGAGUUUACGCUGACUAUAACCCUUUGUGAACAUACCUAUAACUGUUGCUUCGGCGGGUAGGGUCUCCGCGACCCUCCCGGCCUCCCGCCUCCGGGCGGGUCGGCGCCCGCCGGAGGAUAACCAAACUCUGAUUUAACGACGUUUCUUCUGAGUGGUACAAGCAAAUAAUCAAAACUUUUAACAACGGAUCUCUUGGUUCUGGCAUCGAUGAAGAACGCAGCGAAAUGCGAUAAGUAAUGUGAAUUGCAGAAUUCAGUGAAUCAUCGAAUCUUUGAACGCACAUUGCGCCCGCCAGCAUUCUGGCGGGCAUGCCUGUUCGAGCGUCAUUUCAACCCUCAAGCUCUGCUUGGUGUUGGGGCCCUACAGCUGAUGUAGGCCCUCAAAGGUAGUGGCGGACCCUCCCGGAGCCUCCUUUGCGUAGUAACUUUACGUCUCGCACUGGGAUCCGGAGGGACUCUUGCCGUAAAACCCCCCAAUUUCCAAAGGUGACCUCGGA
rnacentral:rRNA from 1 species